GCUUACGGCCAUACCACCCUGAGCACGCCCGAUCUCAUCUGAUCUCGGAAGCUAAGCAGUGUCGGGCCUGGUUAGAACUUGGAUGGGAGACCGCCCUAGGAAUACCAGGUGCUGUAAGCU
rnacentral:rRNA from 1 species